rnacentral:lncRNA from 1 species
GGGGCUUGUAACCGUCACUUGUGUCUUUAACAGUUAAAAGAUAGAACGGUCUAGUCAAGCGCCAUGUCUCUUGUUCUUCGAUUAACUAUAGCUCUGGAGUUUUUGUAGAUUUUCAAAUAAAACUCAGAGAUUCCUUGUAUGACUCUCUCUAGUCUCUCUUUUGUGGUAUUUCUGGAUCCUUACCAAGGCAGUAAUGGUGUGUGCCAUCUCUCAAAUUAUGUGGUAUUUGUGGUAUAAGGCAUAGUGGCAUUGCCUUCUCUCUCACCCUACUCUAAUAAGGUUUUGAUAUCUGGAGCUCAUAGGUGGGAGACAGCUAAUACAUACUUACAAGACAUUUAUUGCAUAGUCAAACCAUGGAUCCAGAAGAACAAGUCAAUAAGUCAAAUCAAGAUAUGCAUGUGUGGUGAAUGAAUGGUGUAUGGUAAUGAUGGUGAUAACAAUGGUGAAAGUCUAAUUCUACUUGUGCUCUUUUGAGGGGAUACAUACCUUUCUUGCUCUUUUGAAACUUUUUGAGGAGAAUGAGAUGCUCUAUAUUUUCUUUUUCUUUUCUCUCAGGUGGGUAUCUUGUACCCCUAAUUCUACUGUCGGACACUUGUCCAUUUUUACCUCUCGUCUCACUUUUUCUUUUCUUUCGAGGUUUCGGGCACUUGCCCCUUUUUAUUUCCUCGUAUUCUUUCUUUUUUUUUCUCUCUCUUUUCUAGAGCACUCAUCUCCUAAAAUAAUAUAACAAGUGGUAGUAACCAAGAUAACUUGAGCAUUUAUUUCAUAGGGAAAAACAGAAAUGUUUUUGGCUAUUCUCUCCCGGAUUAGGAGUAGAAUAUUUUUAGGUGAUUCUGGAGAUGGAAAUGGGUGGAUAUAUGUGGAUGCGUACGUCCGGAGUAGAAGCAGCAUGUGUGAGUGAACGUGCAAGUGAAUCUUGACUUAACCACAUGACAAGCUCCUAAGGGUCUACACAGCUUGACCACACUCAAUGCUCAUAAGCAGUAAAAAGUAAAUGUGUGGCUCAAAGUCUAGCAAGCAUGUAUAUAUGGCUGUGGUAGGAAUUUAAACUCUCAUCAUACAGGAACUCAUCAUGCAACAUUUUAAAGAUUUUUUUCAAAGAUAAAAUUCUCCAGAAUUCUAGCAUCUCUAGGAACAGAUAAACAGCAGCUCAACCUUCCCAUAUCAUAUCCGUUAACAACUUAGACUUUGGAUCAAGUACUCUCCCCACAAGUUCAGGUUUAGAGCAAAUCUUAAUUCAUAACAGUGAUGCCUAAACUUGAGAGAGAUUUCAAUUUUGAGAACUAGUCAUGGCAGAGCAACUAUUCAUCAUUUCCAUGUGAGAGCUUAUCAUAAGGGUUCAUAGCAAACUUUAUUUAUUUAUUUAUUUAGCAAACUAAGAAAAGACAUAUAUAAGCACAAAAUCUUUAUUUUGGUUUUUAUGAUUAUGCAUCUUUUUAUUAUUAGAGUAAAGUAUAAACGUGAGUAGAACACUUAGCUAGAUAAAUGGGGGUGCUCUCCCCCAAGCUGGAUUUUGACGUAAUUUCUUCUGAUGUAGCUAGCAGGUGACGGAGGUGUAUUUGAAUGUCGGCAGCAUCCUGACAGCGGUUAGGAUGUUCUCCGUCUGCUAGUCUUCUUUGAUCCUUGAAUUCUAUGGAGCUUAAAUAGACAACAAAGCUUUGUGGAACUAGUUAAGUGUUAGCAUAAAUAUUUAGCCUUUAUCAUGUUGAGCCUCCUCAAUAAAUGUUACACUCUUUAGUAGGAUCACAAUCUUAUUUUUACAAUUUUAUUUUUAUAGGACAGGAAUAUAUUUAUUUCAUUUUUAUGCCACCACAGUGAAUGUACGUAUGGGUUUUAUGCCAUGAGCAUAAUCACAUGGGGCUUACUAUUUUUAUUUUCUUUUCAAGAUGAUAUGAACCUGAUUAACUAAGCAAACCAUUUUAAAAUAAUUGAAAGGGAAAGGAUAACUACCAAGUUUACCUCUUGGCAAGGCGUUCGGUGUUUUUAAGUCCUCCGAACGGUACCCUCCGUUUUCUCAGUCGUCCUAGGAUUCGCUGGAUGGCGUAGUCGGUGGUUCUGGCGGCUCCUGCUCUUCAUGUAUAACUAUCUUCUCUCUACACACCCGACUCAGUGCUACGAUCUUCUCAGGAUAGUUCUGUUCAAGUUGUAUGUCUUCAGACCUUACAACUUCUCCUUCAUAGUCUACCCAUCCGUCCUUGAUGAUUUUGCCUUCUCUGGUUACGGUUGCGUCGUCUUCUUCUUGUCGUGACCUGCUUAGAGUCUUCAACUAUAUAAUUAAGGUCAGUAAAAUAGCGGCGUACCUUCUUAGAGAGGAAGUGCAUGUGGACUUCUCUGGUUCCAAUGUAGAUGAUUGCUUUAAUGGUGCUGAGGAACGGUCUCCCAAUGGUGAUGGGUGUAUUGUACUCGUCUUCUCCCAUGUCAAUAACCUGAAAAUCAUCUGGAGCUGAAUGUAUGUUGGUUGUAGGGUCAUGGUUCCAUGCAGGAGCUGAUAAGUGACUGCGGCCAUUAUGUUGACGUCAGAUCCAGUGUCGUAGAGUGUCUUCUGAAAAGAAUAUCCGUUGAUUGUGCACUCGAUGCUUGGAACACUAGGGUCGUCCUUCUUGAUCAAGAAAGGCGACUUGAGUUGACGAUCUUGACCUCCUUGAGCUGCAGUGACCAUCUUAGCUGACUUGGUCCACAUUUGCUUGGUCCUGUUCCUCGUGUUGGUCCUCUUCCUAGGUUCAUGUCGGGAUUGCUCUGAGAUUUGUGUAAUCUUGUUCUUGAAGGAAAACGUCUCCUUCCUCCCUUUGAUGUAGAAACUGAUCUUGGCAGCACUAGCAUAGAUGACAGCUCCCGAGGUGUUCAGGAAUGGCUUCCUCUGGGCAUAAUGUUGACGUUGGAGCCAAAGUCGCAGAGUGCUUCUGGGAAGUCCACCAUGCCGAUGGAGAUCGGGAUGACGGGGCGUCCUGGAUGGCCUCUCUUGACUGGCAGAAGGUCAGUAAUUACUUCCACAAUGGGGUUACUCCAGUAGUUACGUCCUCAAGCAUCUCAAGGCAGUGAUUGCCUGAGUGUCCAGUAUCUCCAGUGUGUUUGUGCUCGUAGAUCUAGGUUCUUCACUUGGUGGAGUCUGGGAGUUGUAAAAGUCCUUCAUAUUUUGCUCGAAGUGUACCUGCUCAUAGAGACAAGGCAAAGAUCUAGUGCAUGGGCUCUGUUGGUGAAAAACACCAACAGAACCAAAAGUGUAUUUGUUCUCUCUAACCUUAAGCAUAGUGAGCAAGACAAAGUUGAUGGAUAAAAAGAUCAUGAGUGUAAGAUUUAAAACAUUUGUGAGAUCAGAUCGCUCAACCUAAUGGAAAGAUAAUCUAUCUAUACUUAUUAUUUUUUUUAUAUAUCUUCCAAAGAUUGCGUGUGCGACAUUUUAGUUCAUAUGAUUAGGAGUGUGGGAUCACAAAGGUGGAAGGACUAAACAUAUUGAAUCGACUGGGUUGGUUAAUCUAGAGUUGUAAAUCAUACAUGUUUGUCUCUUUUAUUCAUAUGAACGCUAGAACCAAGGAGAAACUUAUAAAAGUGAUAGACAAGUACCUUAAGAUGUUAUCUUACUUGAAGAGUGAUGGUACAGUAUCACCUUGUGGAAGCUUUCCUUUCUUAGCGGUUGUGCAUCAUGUUUGUGGCACCCUCCAUAGACCAUCUCUUGUGAGCUAUGCCUUCCCUGUGUAAAUUGUUAAACUUCAUGUGCCUCUCUCUUUGUCUCCAAUGUGAGUUUGUCUCAGGACUUCCCAGGUCAAUAUUGAAAGUUUUCCUGCAGGGGUUAGUCCAACAAAAUAUCCAAUAUCUACUAUAGCAUACUAUCGCCUCAAAGAUCAAACUAGACACCAUGUCUAAUUUGAUUUAGGAGGGAAUUUUAACCUAAGCAUCAUGCUUAAUUUAAACUCCCUUGGAAGUAAGAUCAUCAGCCCUAAACUAAGCACCAUGCUUAAUUAAGAGAUAAAUGAAACUACUCCAAACCUAGACAUAUACUAAAGUAAAUAAAGGUAGCAUGAGAGCAUUUAUAGAGAUCUACUCAAGUGGAGAUGAAGUAGUGUGAUUAGUAUUUAACAAAUUGAGCAUGUCUCAAAGGUAGGGACAACCAACAUAGCAACAUGGCAAAGAAUGUUUUUAUGUAAAGUACUCCCCCAAGCUUGAAUUUUGCAAAAUUCAAGUUUGGAUGAAUUUAAUUCAAUGUUGUAUGAUGAUUGGUUGGACAUACCUUGUGCUUGUAAUUCAUCCGAUCUUCUUGCUCCAAUCCUGGAAAGGUUAGUGACAAGAAUACCCGAAGGAAUUUUUUACAAUUAUCCUUAUAUGCUCAACACACAAGGUAAUGUUGCAAAUAAUUAAAAGCUCAUGUUACGAUCUGAUCAGUGCUUAUUUUAGGACACUAAGCUUGUCCUUGGGAAACCAUUAAUUUAUGUCGGUGAAAUGGUUUCCCCUCCAACGCUGACCUAUAUCAAGAUCAACUCAACGAGAUCUACAAAAUUUGUUAUAGACAUAUGCAUCGACAACCGCCCUUUUAAAGUUUUUAUAAAUAGAAAAGAAGUGGGGGUUGGAGAUCUCGAAUGUGGUGAUGUUGGAGAGACCAAUGGACUGUGAAGAUGUUGCAUACGAGCAUGGAGUAAAUGAAGUGGCUAUGAAAUAAAUUCCAUGCUCAUUAAUGCUUAGAGUGAAAUCCAUGUGGUAUGGUGAAAGUGAUAAGGUGAGUGUGGUAAAUAAAGGAAAAGAAAAAGGAUACACGGACGACUUGGUUCGAAACUAGCACAGCUACCGUUCUCCGGCAACGGCGCCAAAAAGCUUGUUGGGUAAUUUAAACGCAAACAGAAAAAUCCGCAAGCGCACGGAUACCGAUGUAGCUUUCACCCGAGAGUAUUCCAGAGUAUCGAUUUUCCACAGAGAACGUGAGUGUACUAAUUAAGAUCCAAGAUCGCCCAAGGAUAACUAUAUAAUUAUUUUUGGUGGGAAGAGAGGAAGUUUUCUGAGAGUUCUCUAGUUGAUCUAAGAAUCAAGAAUUACUUCAAGAUUAUCUAUAUCGGGACAUCAGAGCACUAACCACAGAAAGAGAUGAGAAGGGGGCUAGGAAGGUCUGACUACGGUCCUACAAACACCGAUCCGAACGAGGUGGAAUACGUCGACCGUUAGGGCUGUCACUACCCUAAGGCUACCACAAAAAUCCGCAGGAUUGGGUGCAAUUCCAGGUAAUUGCAAGACUAAACACCACGUCUAAUCUAUUAAUUACUACUCUAGCGUUAUAAAGACUAGAGCACUUGAUGCAAGCGGGAAUCCAAUAAAUAACUUGAAUGUAAAUAAAAGUAAUUAAUGUACUUAGGAAUUAUGAAUUGAAGAACCUGGAGAACGAUGAAGAACGAACCAGUUGCUGCAAAAGUACAAUGUUGAGGAAGAUCCAACAGAUCCGGCUCCUCCUCCGCUCUCCUCUUCUCUCUCCCUAUUUUCUAGAUUACAACUAGAACUAACUAGAACUAGAACUAGAGGAACUAGAACUAGAACUAGAACUAGAUGAACUAGAACUAGAACUAGAAGAACUAGAGGUAGAACUAGAAGAACUAGAGGGAUCCUCUCUACUUGGAUGAAGAAUUGAAACCCUAACUUUGAUUCUGUAGAAGAGGUAUGAUCUCCAGGGGCCAGGGGGUCUGGUUUUAUAGUCCCUUCAAGUGAAUAUGGGCCGUUGGAUCAAACGGACAUUGAUUGAACGGUUAUCCUUGAUCCUUUAGGUCGGUGGAGCAAUAUCCCGAAAGAGAGUCCUGCUUGGACUCUGGUUGAGGGCAGGCGCCCAGGAGAAGAGGGCGGGCGCCCUGUCCCUGAGUCCUCUCGGCCUCCGCUUCGGUCCCGUGGCUUCUGGAGUCUUCUAGAUGAUAGAAAAUUGCUCGGCACGUUAAUAUCUCUAUGUAAACCCGACGUGUGGGCCUUUCUUCCGUAUUUCCUGAUAACCCCCUGCAGAAAUAGACAAACAAGAAAACUCGUGGAAUUCUGUCAGAUAAAACCCUAAAUCUAGAUGUUGGUUUCAUUUAGAUCCUUUUCUAUGAUUAGUUGAUGGUUAAAUGUGAGCAUUAAGGACCGUCAACACCCGCUACGGUAAAUCGAUAUUUACCACAGCGGACAUCUUAAUACGUCUGCCACGGAAAAUAUAUAUUUUCCGUGGCGGACGUAUUAAGAUGUCCGCUGCGGUAAAUCAAUUUACCGCAGCGGGCAAAAGUGUCUGUCGCGGUUAAUUAAAAGUGCCCGAUGUGGGAAAUCGCACGAUUUACAGCAGCGGGCAAAAAAAACGCCCGCCACGGAGUGAACAGUACCAACGUCACGAAACUUCGUUUCUCUAGUAGUGUUUCUUUUAGCCAGUAGUGUUUUUCUCUCACAAUAAAUCAGUCAACAAUAAUUUCAACCAUAACUUUUUCAGACCAGCGAAUGUCUUUCAUCUAACUCAGCCAGUUGUGCAGGUCUUGUUGGAGGUGGUGAAAGCCCAAGUUUGGUUUUAGUAAUUAAUGAUACCAAGUUGCUAAUGCCUUGUGAUUAAGUGAUUUGAGUUAGGCAUAGCAACACAUGUGAUGAAGAUGCAUGGUGGCAUGGGAAGAUGGCCACAUGAUCACAAAGAGAUGAAGCAUAAAGUGGAGAUCAUGGUGAUAGACGAGGAGUAAAGUGAUGAAGGCAAAGGUAUAAACAUUUACUUUUGUCGGUCUAAGUUGAGUAGAGAAGUGAUUGACCGGAUUUAGGAUAGAUAGCCGACUAUCAAGAGGGGAAAUCACGGUCAUUUCUUGAAUCAAGUGCUACUAGGUCCAUAUCUUGAGCAUAUGCACUAGAAUCUAGUAAAGUGCUAACUUAACUCCUUUAAUGAAAAUAUUUGUAAAAAGCUAACACACAUACACUUUGGUGGUGAACACUUGUUGGUGUCAGCGCUUUUGAGAAAAUUAAGUGUAUAUUUUCUAAUGCGCCAGUGGGAAAUUUGGAGAAGUCACGGGAGUGUUUCUCACACCGGACGCGUGGUGCAGAGGCAUCGGACGCUGGCCUCAGCGUCCGGUGUGCUGUCAGUGCUUGACCCUGCUAGGGUUGAGCACCGGACGCAGGGUGUUUCCUGUUUAUGCAUCCGGUGGCCUAUCUUAAAUAGAGGGUGUAUGUCUGAGAGCACCGGACGCUCUGAGUGCGUCCGGUGGUGUGCGUCCGGUGUGAGGAGGUUUUGCAACCCUCUCUACGCAUAAGUCCGACGCGUCCGGUGAGACCUGAGUUUUACAAACUCUCGGCGCACGAGUCCGGUGAGUACCGGACGAGUCCGGUGUUCACUUGGUCACGUCCGGUGGUCCGCAGGUGACCGUUAGAGUUUGACGCGCGAGAUUCAAAGGAGGACACGUGGCCAACCUCAGAACAUCGAACGCAGGGGGUUUAGCGUCCUGUGCUCACUUAGUAGCAUCCGGUGUGCCCGACUGCAGCCCAUUAAAAACAGCCAACGGCUAGUUUCUUUGAGGGGCCUUAUAAAUAGGAGGUGGCCAACUUUGGGAGGUUCUCUCUUGCACAUUUGAUUACUUGAGGUAUACAUUAAGCUAGAGAACACUCCCUCCACUCAUCUCCUUGCUUGAUUGCUAAUCCUAGUGAGAUUAAGUGAGAUUCAAGUGCAUUGCUUUGAGAGUUGCAUUUAGUGGCACUUGAUUUUUGAGUUUGCUGCGGAUUUCUUUGUUGCUCUUGGGUGUUUCCCGACGCCCUAGAUGGCUUGGAGCAGCGGUGGUGUUGAGCUCGUGAUUGGAGAUUGUUUUGAGCCUCACCAAGUGAUUUGUGAGGGGUUCUUGAGCCUUCUCCGUGGGAGAUCGCAAUUGGCUACUCUAGUAGAUUGCUCGUGGCUUGGAGGAUCCCCAUCUUGUGAGUGGAUGUGCGGCACCCGCUGAGGGUUUGGCUUUGGAUUGCCAAUUAGCUCGCAAUCCAUCAAGUAGGUGUAUCGCCACAACGAGAAGUAGCUUGCCGGGAAGCAAGUGAACCUCGGUAAAAAAAUCUUGUGUCAUCUCUUACCGAGAUCUCUCUUGUGAUUGUGUAUGUGAUUGAUUGGAUAUAUCUCAUCUCUACAAUGUUAGUAUAACAAUCACUUCCCUCUCAUUUAUUUGUGCAUACCUUGCUAAGUUGUGUAGCUUAUUUAGCUUAGCUCUCUUGUUUAGGAGUGUAGCAAACUUCUAGUUGUGUUUUCUUGUUGUAACUAGUGUUUAGCCUUCUUGCUAGAUUUGUGUAGGUGGCUUGCAUAGCUUAGUUAUGCUAGUGCUAAUAUAGCUUCGCCUUUUGUUUUACUAAUCAACUUGUCUAGUAUAGCUUAGUUGAAGUUUGUAUAGGCUAUUCACCCUCUCUAGUCAUUUGGACCUUUUAGGUGGCCUUAGAUUUCAGGCACAUUAUGUUAAAAAAAAAGAUUUUCAGGCACAUUGUGUCCACCAGCGAGCUAAAUUUUAAAUAUAUGUUCAUGAAAAUAUAAGAUUGAACUGUCCGAUUUCAGUUACCUCGUUCUACCGGCGAAAGAAUAGGAUGCUAAAUUUUAUAAUAUACCCAUGAAAAUAUGAGUGGGCUGAUUAAUUACCCGCUAAAUUAUAAUCCUAGUUCGCUUAACCAUAAACCAUUUCCUAGUAAAGACAGCCAGUCUCGGAAAAAAAAGAAAAAGAAAAAAGAAAAGCCAGCCUAGAGGAUCUUUCUGUUUGAGUUAUUUUAGUAGAUGCUGUGUAACACCUAAAAAUUUGAUUUCAAUUAAUAGGAAUUAAUUUGAUUUAAUUAAGUAUUUUUGUGAGCAUUUAAAUUUAAUACUUAAAUAAUUUUUUUAUUGAAAUUAAAAUUUUUUAUAAGUUUAGUAAACUUAAUUGUGCAUUCAUGCUGAGACAUAUUUUAUUUUGUGUUGAUUGCUUUUGGUUUGUAUUUAAUUGUCCUCAAAAUCCUUUGCAAAAAAGGCUUUGAAAAAAAAUAAAACAGAAAAGAAAUUAGAAAAAAGAAAAAGAAAAAGGGGAGACAGCUCCCUGGAACCAGGCCGGAGCCCAACUCGCUCGGCCCAGUCCCUCCCCUUUCUCCCGCGGCUCAGCUCCCCCUUUCCCCCUCACCUCGGCCCAACUGGCAGCCCCGCACGCGCGCCCUCCCCUCUCCCUUCUCUUUGUGUCCGUCAGCCGGGGCCCGCACGUCAGCGGGUUUUCUCCGUUUCCUUUCUUCUCCGCGCGUCACCGAGCGGGACUCGGUGGAAACCACCGAUGCAAUCCCGGCUUCCACGGAAUAUUUCCCUUCGACGCGGUUUUAAACCCUAUAAAGGCCUCCAGCUUUGCCCCGCACUCCGUUUUCCCACCGAGCCACGAAAAUUGAGCCCUAGCCGCCUAGGUUAGCGCGUCGGGAUUUCGCCGAGAGCCUAGCUAGCCGCCGCGCGCAGCGAGCCCUCUCCUUUGCUCCUCGGUCUGAGAAAAGUCGCUAGGUGAGUCCGCUGUGAGCUCCUCGUUCUAUCGGAGUUUUUCUUUCGCGUUUUGGUGCACGGGAGCGAGAGAACCGAGAGCUCCGGCGAGGCCUUCAAUGGCGCCACCGCGUCGGGCCUGAGACUGGCGGCCGGCCGGCCGGAGUUCGGUAGGGAGAAGUCACAGUCGUUCGAUUGGAAUCCGACGGUUGAUGAUAGAAGAUACCCUUUCACUAGCUGUUUUCUUUAAGAGCCCCUGAGAGUUUUUAUUAUUCCACCCGCAGUCCCUGGCGGUUUUCAUAGGAUACGUUUUCUUCAUUUAAAAGCGUAUUUCAGUUUAGUUCUCUCAGAAUACGUUUUCAGUUAUACACAGAUUUGCCACUGAAAGUAUUUUGCUCAUAAAAUAUUUAUUUGAACUUCAUUUUCGUCCAUUCAAAUUUCGUUAGAUUCGUAUUUACGAGCUCUACAUGUUAGAUGUAUUAUUUCUCUGUUUUGAAACUUAUUAUUUUUGCAGUAGCAUUUAAUUAAUUAUUUAUCUAUAGGAAAUCUUAGAAAAUUCAUAACUUCUACGUAUUAAUUCUGAUUUUUCGUGAACUUUAUGUUUGUGUGAUCGUAGCGCUGCGUAGAAUAUUUUUAUAAACUUUUAUCUUUGAUUUACCACUGUUAGUGUAAUGUUCUAAUUAUAGCUUGUUUGCUUCAUGUAUGAUUGCCUACAUUGGAUUGCGUGUUGUUGAUUGAUGUUUGGGAGUAGACAGUGAGUCGUACGUUGGUGACCAAGACCAAGCUUUUAAAGACCAGCAGUAGGCUCAGGAGAGCUUUGAUCAAGGCAAGUAUAACUUGGGAUCAUCCUUGUUACCUAUACACAAUUAAGUACAAUAUAUAUCAUAUGCAUGUUUCCACCUUGAUGACCUUAACAAAAUCAUAGAUGAUUGUUAUCCUGAAUUCCUUGUUAGCUAUUUGGAUAUGCAUUUGGGUAGUUCUUGCUAGUGCUUGAGUAUAAUCCAUUAUCUUGUAACAUGAAUAUUUGAAUAUACAAUAAACAAUAAAAUAAGCUUUAGCAAAUUGAACAUAAAAGGUGGAAAGAACUCUAGCUUUUGCUAGAUUGAUCUUAACCCUCCAUAAGGACUUAUCCCUUGGCAAAAGCUGGGACAACUCGUACAACCAUGAGAGAUACAUGGCUCUGGUUUUAGCUCAGUAUGAGGAUCUUUUUCUAGCUUGUUAGCGGUUACCUUAAAUGGCGUAAGAAUGGCUAGACACGUUGGGUAUAGUGCGGCCUCUGUCCGUGUGUAUAGGCUGCGUGUUAUGUGCCAUGGAAGGGGGGCUCUAUAUCUGCCUGCCGAGUGAAUCUAAUGGCCCUAACUUGUUAGACGAAACCUUUGAAAGGCUUCAUAGUGAUCCCUGCCGACCUCCCUAAGAAGGGGGUUAAGAGACUUGCAACCUCGAGCGAAAGGGUAAAUCACGACUCAUGGGUAAAGAUGUACAAUUUCUAUAGAGUGUUAAAUUAGGUAUACUAGCCGUGCGCCAAUUUUCAUAGAGAUAUUAACUUGUGCGCCAAUUUUUCUCGGUCUAGAAGGUUCCAGAAGCCACGCGAACGAACGGGAGGCCGAGCAGGCCCACAGGCAGGGCGCCCGCCCUACCCCCCUGGGCGCCCGCCCACCUCUGGUGGCCAAUCACGGUGAAUCACGCGGAUUAUGCUCCACCGCCUUUGAGGAUCAAGGAGAACCGUUGAAUCAAGGUCGGUUUGAUCCAACGGCCCAGAUUCAUUUGAGAGGGCUGUCGGUGUUUUCCCCACGGGGGGUCACACCAACGAGUAAAUUUGUAUGCGUGCUCCCUUUCCCAGAUGGUGAUGCAAGAAGACACAGAGAUUUAUCCUGGUUCGGGCAAGAGAAGGCCUUACGUCCAGCGGGGGGAGAGAGUUUGUAUUAUCUUGCACCUAAGUGCUUGUACAGGGGUGAAUACAAGCGUGGUAUGGAGUGUGGAGAUCUACUGCGUAUGAACCUGGUGUUGUCUCUUGUGUUCUAUUCCUGAGUCCCUCCUUUUAUAGUUCCAAGGAGAGACCCAGGGUACAUGUAUAGGCGUCAGAAUAAGAGUCGAUAGCAGUAUGGAGCGCUGACCUACUCGAGGCUUCCGUACCGGCAUGGCCUCGAGCCGUCCCGUCUUAAUAGCCUGGUGAUGAUUACGCGUGCCCCUGCAUUCUGCUCUGCGUGCCGUCUUGUACUGGUUCAACGGUCGCAUGCUCGUACGGUUUGGCGGCAAAUCCGGCGGAGUGGUUGCGGCGUGGCCAGUCGACGUCCGACCCGUCCCCAGGAAGGAACCAUGUUAAGUCGAGGGUCGGACGCCGUACGACGUCCUGAUGUCGGAGCGCUGACCUUGGCUGCCUCGAGGGGGUCUUGAUUAGACGUGCCAUCUCUGUUUCCCACGUCCUGACACGCCCUGGGCCGUUUGGUGGGGAAGGCUGCAAAAAGAUCGAUGGGACGGAUGCCUGUUCCCUAUCACGCCUCCUGUGACCCAUGUGUUAGGUGGGGAAGCAUCAGGCGCAUUUAAUGCCCCGGCUCGCGUGCGCGCGUCAGGCGGCGGGCGGCGUCCUUGCGCUCGACACCUCCCGGUUCGCGUGAGCCUGUUCCGUAUUCGACGGUAACCAGAGCUCGACGCCUGAUUGAUUCGCUCGACGCUAUUUCCGUCUUCGAGGCUGUGGCCGUCGAUGGCUGCGCAUACGUACGGAUGGAGCGUCGAAUCGAGGGCCUCGUCCUACGUACGGAUAACCUUGUUAUAUGCACUGGUGAGGGUACCCCUUGUUGAUACCCUCGACAGUAGCCCCCGAGUCUCCAUUCGAGCGCUGGCGCUCGAGUGGAGACUUUUGCUUUUACGGUCGAACUUCCGUGGGGGCGCGCGAGCGACCCCGCGGGGGUAGCCCCCGAGCCCUCGAGGGAGUUUUUAAUUCCUUUGAGGGUUAUUUUGCCAAAUUCGCAGAAGCGCUAUGGACACCAUUGGUGGAAGGUUCUGAUCGGCUUUGCCUUCGGAGGAGGUUUCGACGUACUCUCGAUAGAGCGAGCGUCUUCCACCCCAGAUUGAGUUCCUAGCGGGUAGUCCAAGUGAGAACCUGUGCCCUUUUCGAGGGGGUCAGCUGUAGCCCGGAGGCGUUCUCAUAAAGCUGGGUUGACGUGGUCGGGGAUACCGGUCUCAUUCGAUAGAGUCCAGCGGCUCGAUGCCUCCCGUCGGGGGGAUUCCUCUCGACUGUCUCGACCCUACCUUGGACAUCGCCAGCGAGUCUUCGAGGCGGGCCUCGAUCUUCGACCGCUCGCUGGAGAUCCCUGACUCUGGUGCUCGAGAUCGGCUGUCGAACCCUUUCGGUGGGCCAGCCUGCGACCUCUCGAGGCUUUCGCGGGCACGCCCCUUGGCUUACAAGGGAAGGAAGUGGCCGUGGCGGUUCGCCUUUUUGCCCGUUGGGCGCACCUUUUUAGGCGGGUGACGUUAUGACAUUGUAUCGGCGUGGAAUUCGGAGCGCCCGGCCUGUGAAGGGGGAAAGACUGUUAGGUAGCGCAUUUAUGGGUGGACGUUACCUCAUUUCUCGGAUCUGUCCGUUGGCGGAUCUUGGCUUAUAAAUACGCCGCGGCACCGCCGCCGUUCUUUCUUCCGCCUCCCAUCUUCACUCUUGCCUUAGCCUUCUUGCCGCCCUAGCUCUCUCGCCGUCUCACGCGCACACGACUCCUCGAGCAGUAGCGGGUCCACCGUCCCUCCGGUCGUGAUGCCUGUAAGACUCGUCGCCGCCGACGACUGGCGCCCGUCGUCGAUGACGGAGUGCCGGUUGUUAGAGCUUGAGAAAGAGGGACUGCUGCGCCGCCGUACCUCGUUAUCGUCGCCAGAGUGGAUCGCGCCGCCGGCGAAUCACAGGGAGCCCCAGCCGCCCGAGGGCUACGUGGUGUCGUUCGCCAAGUUCCACCGCCACGGCCUGGGCGCGCCCCCGAGCCGCUUCAUGCGGGCCCUCUGCUUCCACUAUGGGGUGGAGCUCCAGCACUUCUCCCCAAACGCCAUCACCGUCGCGGCGGUCUUCGCCGCCGUGUGUGAGGGCUACUUGGGGAUGAUGCCGCACUGGGAGAUGUGGCUCCACCUCUACAGGGGCGAGCUUUUCCACGCCCCCACCGGAACCACGGGCGUAAGGAAACCCGUGCGGGCGGGAUGCCUCAAUCUUGUGCAGAAGACGGGGAAGACGGACAGGCCGCGGGAGUACAUCCCGGUAGGGUUAUCGACCAACCACGCCGGCUGGGACUCCCAGUGGUUUUACUUGCGGAACGACGACAACCUCCUGCCUUCCUACUCGGGCCGUCUGAUCAUGGAGCGUCCAGCGGAUUGGACAUACGGCGUCGUCCAAGCUCAUCAAUCUCGGCUCGACCCCCUCCUCGACGCCAUGAAGAAGCUGCGCUUGGAGGGCUUGACCGCCGCCCUCGUCCUCUCGGCCGUCCAUCACCGGAGAGUUCUCCCUUUGAUGUCUCGGCCGUUGAGGAUGGAUGAGAUGGGCCCUGGCGUCUCAUCUCUGGACCUCGAGGCGUGCCAGAUGUCCAACGAGGCUCCGGCGGAUGACGAAGUCGCGGCCCAAGUCAGGGCUGCAAUUGCCGGUGAUUUUCAGCCGGAGCAUGUUAACGGCUUCCCCAUGAGGCCAGAUGCUGGCUCGAUCGAUCUGGUAUGUUUUCUCCAUGCGCGCAGCCUCGAUUCUGGGUUUCUUUUCUUCCCCUCUCUUUUUCUCUUCUAAGUCUGCCUUUAUUACGACAGGGACGGAUUGACGUCCGGUCCUCGAGGCCUCCGGUAAAGGAGGACGAGGUCGAUCGCGACAAACGGCGCCAAUCCGCCGAAAAGCUCAAGUCCGCCAAGGACUCUGCCAAAAAGGGGGAGAAGAAGAAGAACCUCGACCGUCAAGCAUUAGAGGCGCGUCGAGCCAAAUCCAGGCAGAGGGGGGAGCCUGAGGAAGAAUCCCCCAACGACGAUGACGACGACGACGACAGCGACGAUUCCGAGGGGAUGGCAUCACGCCUUGACCGAAUCCUCGAGGGUCCACCUCGAGGUGAUGUCGACGCUCCUCGGACGGAAGUUCCGACGGGGGGUCCAGGCGGAUCCCACCAUCCGCGCGCCGACACCCCUCCUGCGCCCGUGGCUGGUCAGGUCGCCCCGCGCCCUCCUCCCGUGCCCAAGACGGGCGGCCACGCUAGGUCCCAGGCGACGGGGCCACUGACUCGUGGUCGCGCCGCGGCCUCCGACAAAGGAGAGGCCGGUCGCAGGAGCGCCAGUCCCGGCGCCCGCCAGGCAGGAACUGACGCGCCUGGGCCAGCGCCUGCCCUCGAGGGGUCUGGAGCCCUGACGCGGGGUGGCUCGAGGCCCACCGGUCGGGGUGGCGGGAGGCGAGCUGUUCUCCCUGUGGGGUAAGCCUUUUCGAUGUUGUGGCUUUUGUCUUCCUCCUCUUCCGCCUUUCCUCAUAUGCUGAUCUUUUUCACGCUCAUUUCUUUCUUUUCUCAGGCUAAAGCGGACCCUCGAGCAGGCCCAGCCGUCCAUGGCGAAGAGGCUCAAAGCGGGUGCCGCCUCCAAGGAGCCAGGUUUGUGGCUUACUUUUGGGAUCUGUGAUGCUCUUGCGCUAACCAUCGUAGUCACCGGCCUUUAUUCUUUAUUUUGUAGGCUCCUCCGACUUCCAACCUCCAGUGGGCGCUGAGAGUGCUCUGCCUCGUUCCGAGCCUACCCCGUCGCUGCCGGCGUGUGGUGAGGCGCCCCAGACGCAAGUGCCGGAGGGAGCCCCCGAGCCUCCUCGAUUGGGGGUCGAGGGGGAACCCAUCACCAUCAGUGAUACAUCUGAUGGUAACGAAACACCUGGAGGCGCCCACCCUAUGGAGGAGGAAGCGUCGACCUCUCACCUCGCGGGACCGACUCCCUGGCCCGCCGGCCUCGGUGCCCUCGAGGAGCAGAAGAAGAAGAGGGAGGAAGAUGAAGAGCGGGAGCGUGAGGUGGCGCGGCAGCCGCCGGAGCAGAGCCGCGGGCGAGAGCCGCAGGAGCAUGAGGCGCAACAACAGCAACAGCCGCAGGGGGGCCAAGAGGAGGGACUGCUCGAGCCCCCGCCCCAAGGUCCGGCCCAGCCAGUACCGCCGGAGCCGCAAGGGCCCGGCGAGCAGGAAGAGGAUCUGCCGGUGUACGGCCCCCCGACCCCAGCGUGGCUCCUCCCGGGGGCACCUGCCGUGAUCCGGGCAGAGCCGGGGCGAGCGGAUGGAGUGGUGGCGCUCGCCUGCAUGAUGCGCACCCCCACCGACCCCGAGUUCGAGAUCAAGAGGACGAUCUACGGCAUGGACAGGAUCGCCCCAGGGUUCCUCCGGGAGCGUCAGGCAUGGGAGGACCGCUUUCCCUCCGAGGAGGAUGAGAUCGGGACAUCGGGGACCAAGGACGGAACCUGGAAGACGGUGGACGACGACGGGCGGUUCCCAUGCCUCGUCGACCUGUUCCUGCGCCAUGGGGGCUCCCUCGAGACCGUCAAGGACCUCAUCCGCGGCGUCAAGGCACGGGCCGACCGGGAGAUGGAGCACUGGUGCCCCGAUCGGAUCCGCAUCCGGGCUUCCCACGACCCGUCCGAGCCUAACAUCUUCCUGGACGAUAGGAAGGAGGCGGAGAAGUGGGAACACGUCGAGGAGCUCCGCCUUUGGAUGAAGCACGUGGUGGGGCUCCUCGCAGACGUUAUCAACAACGGGCUCGGGCCGGCUUAUUUCGUAAGUGUUUUUCGAUCUUCAACCCUCAUGGAGUCUUUCGGUUUUUGUGCUCUAACCGCUCGACCCUUGGUUCGCAGGAUAUGAAAGAGACCUCUCGCAUCAAGUCCAGUUUCAUUCACGCCACGAGAGGCGGCUGGGAGCAGCUCCCCCUCCUUAAGGAUCAACUCCUCGAGUCGCAGGAGAAGCUCCUUCAGGCCUACAAAGACCUCAUAGCGCUCGAGGAGGAGAAGAAAGCGAGGGAGGCUGCCCUGGUCGAGGCUCGAGAGGCCUCAAGGAGGGCGGAGGAGGAGACAACGAUGCUGCGGGAGCGGGCUCUUACGGUCGAGGAGGCCGCGUCCAAAGCCCGGGAGGAGGCCCUGUCCUACAAGAGCGUUAUUGCGGACCUGGACAAGGAGAAGGGCCUUCUCAAGACCGACCUGGACUCCCUCCGCGACUUCUUUCAAAGGAUGAAGGUGGCGUAUGUGGAUAGUGAGGUCGCCAGGGGUGCCGCCGAGGACGUAAAGAAGAAGGCCCUCGAAGAUCUCGAGGCGGAGCGGGCUCGAUCCCGCAGUCUCUCUGACGACGUCGAGCGUCUGAAGGGAGAAUUGCUGGAGAAGAGUGGAGCCAUUGCUCAGGCUGGCAAGGUGAUCGAAGAUCUCCGCGUUGCCAAUACUAAGCUGGCGUGCUCCAACAGAGAGAUCGAGCGUGCCAACACCAGAUUGGUCGACGAGAACACGGCCGUGGAGGAGAGCAUCAGAGGUAUGUUUCCUUUGUCGAAUUUCUUUUUCGAGGUGUGCUUGAGUUUUUCCUAAAGCCUCCUUGUAUUGGCAUUUACAGGGCUCAAGGACGAACUCCUAGCUGCCUAGGCCGAGGCCCGUAAUGCUAAGGCCCAGCUCGAGGCGGAGGUCGCUUUGAACCGUCGCGUGCGGACGGCGAUAAGCGACCUCACGACCUCGUGGGAGGUCGAGCCUAUGGACGAGUGGAGGGAGGGAGCUCGAGGCGACGCACUGGUCGACCAGCUGUGCUACUUGGGCGCGACGCUGAGAGACCGAGUGCGGGAUGCCCUCCACAUCGGGGUGAAGCGGGCGAUGGCAGUUGUCUGCUCGGGCUUCUCCUAUGACAUGGAGGUGGUGUCCCACGGCUUCGUCACCGACAUCUCCAAGACCGACGCAGAGAACGAAGAGAGGCUCCACGCCUUGAUCGACGACGCGGAGGCUCCUGGAGAGAGGCUGGCCAAGCUUUUUGAGCCUGAGGUGCUUCCUCCUAAAGCUGGCUCAGGCGGAGGCGAGGGUGGUGAGGAUCAUACCGCGGACUGAGGCGUGCGAGCCUGCUCAGGGCGCCUGGGGCCCCUUGUAUGAUACUUUAUUAAUUCUGCUGUUAGGUGAUACAGUAUCUUUUUGUGAUUGUUAAAUGCUUAUUUGUCUUUCCGCUCGAGGUUCUUUUGUUUCUCUUUGUUCCAACGUUUGUAUCCCUUGCUCGAUCUUUCAUCAAAAACAACCUCGAUCACCUCAAGGGUGAGGAAGUGAGUAGAGUUUCCGUAGCCCGGGGGCGUGGGAGUUCUCCGGCUCGUUAUCCCUCGGCCUUUGAGGGGCUCGAGGUGCCUUAGCUACUCGAACCGUGCAAGGUUUACUAAGUAAGAAAAGAAAAUUUCUUGGCUUUUUCGACGCUUGGGGGGGGGGUCGUCCCCCUAGUAGCCCCCGAGGGGGUGUUGACUAUGAUGGGUCAUAGUCGGCACCCCCUUCUAACAUCGAGAUUAUGACUUGUAAAUCUUUUGGCGCAGAAAGAAGUUGCUCGAGAAAAAGACUUUAUUUAUUCAUUCGUUUACAAAGUCUUGGUACAAAAUGUACGUAGGAACAUAAGUUUAGAACUUCUAGGGGUAGAAUCGACGUAGCUGUUCGAUGUUCCAUGCGUUGGUGAAGACUGCCCCCUUCUCGUCCGCCAACUUGUACGUUCCCGGCUUCAGGACCUCGGCCACCACAUACGGGCCUUCUCAAGGUGGAGUCAGCUUGUGGCGUCCUUGAUUGCUUUGCCGGCGUCGUAGGACAAGGUCGCCCACGUUGAGGUCCCUCUUGCGCACGUGCUUGUCGUGGUAGAGUCGCAGUUUCUGCUGAUAUCUGGCAGAGUUGAGGAGGGCCAUGUCUCGAGCCUCCUCGAGUUGGUCGACCGCGUUUUCUUGAGUCUCCUUAUUUGAUUGCUCAUUGUAUGCCUUGAGUCGAGGUGACCCAUACUCGAGGUCUGUGGGUAGGAUAGCCUCGGAGCCGUAGACCAUGAAAAAUGGGGUGUACUUUGUGGCCCUGCUUGGUGCUGUCCUUAGACUCCAUAGGACCAAGGAAAGCUCCUCGACCCAUUUCUUGCCGAAUUUGUUCAAACGAUUGUAGAUCCUUGGCUUGAGUCCUUGCAAAAUCAUGCCGUUGGCACGCUCGACCUGGCCGUUAGUUCGAGGGUGGGCUACUGCAGACCAGUUCACACGGAUGUGAUGCUGAUCGCAGAAGUCCAAGAACUUAGUGCCGGUGAACUGAGUGCCGUUGUCAGUGAUGAUGACGUUGGGAAUCCCAAAACGAUGGAUGAUGUCGGUGAAGAAAAGGACGGCCUGCUCGGAGCGGAUGUUGGUGAUGGGUCGAGCCUCGAUCCAUUUGGAGAACUUGUCGAUGGCCACCAGCAAGUGGGUGUACCCUCCUUUCGCCUUUUGUAGAGGUCCUACUAAAUCGAGCCCCCACACCGCAAACGGCCAGGUGAUGGGGAUCAUCUGAAGAGCGUGGGCGGGUAGAUGCGUCUGCUUGGCGUAGAACUGGCACCCGUGACACGAGCGUACGAGUUCGAUGGCAUCUGCCACGGCAGUCGGCCAGUAGAAACCUUGUCAAAAAGCGUUCCCUACAAGGGUCCGUGGAGCAGCAUGAUGGCCGCAAGCCCCCGAGUGUAGGUCCUCGAGGAGUUUUCGGCCUUCUUCCACGGUGAUGCAACGCUGUAAGACCCCCGUCGGGCUUCGUCGAUAUAGUUCAUUGUCUUUGCCGUAGGUCACAUAUGACUUGGCCCGUCGAGCGAUACGACGGGCCUCUGACCGAUCUUCCGGCAGCUCGCCGCGGAUUAGGCAGUCGAGGUACGGUGUGCGCCAGUCGAAUGGUCGACUAGGCUGCCGUUCCACCUCCAUCACUUCAGCCGCCAUCAAGAGCGUGUCGACGGUGUUGGUUGGCUGGGCAGGAGCGGCGUCGACGCCAGCCCCCGAGCCUAAGUCGACGGAUGGCUCGUGGAGAUCUCUCGAGAACGCGUCAGGCGGCACCGUGCCUCGAGUUGAUGCGAUCUUGGCGAGUUCGUCGGCUGCCUCGUUGUAGCGUCGGGCGACAUGGACAAGCUCGAGACCAUGGAAUUUGUCCUCGAGUCGACGGAUUUCUUUGUAGUACGCCUCCAUUUUCGGGUCGUGGCAGCUCGAGGUUUUCAUUACUUGGUCGAUGACGAGUUGGGAGUCACCUCGGACGUCGAGGCGUCGGACUCCUAACUCGAUGGCAAUCUUGAGACCAUUGACGAGGGCCUCGUAUUCUGCGACAUUGUUAGACGCGGCAAAAUGAGUCCUGAUUACAUACCUCAUGUGGACGCCCAAGGGUGAGAUGAACAGCAGGCCGGCCCCGGCCCCUGUUUUCAUGAGUGACCCAUCAAAAUACAUCGUCCACAGCUCCGCCUGGACCUGAGUCGGGGGAAGCUGGGAGUUUGUCCAUUCCGCGACGAAGUCUACCAGGGCCUGCGAUUUGAUGGCCUUGCGAGGCGCGUAAGUGAGAGUCUCACUCAUGAGCUCGACCGACCAUUUUGCUAUUCUUCCCGUGUGAAAGCCCUAGUUUGGUUUUGGAUAAUUGAUGAAACCCUAGUACUAACCUCUGUGCUAAGUGUGUGUAGACUUAAUGAGGUUGGUACAUGCCAAGUGAAGGAGCAAGUGGUGAUGAUGGUGAUGAUGGUGAUGACCACAAGGUGAUCAAGUGCUCAACUUGGAAAAGAAGAAAGAGAAAAACAAAACCCUAUGGAGAUCAAGGCAAAGGUAUUGCUUAGGGUUUUGGUUUUGGUGAUCAAGACACCAUAGAGGGUGUGAUCACAUUUAGGAUAGAUAGCCGUACUAUAAAGAGGGGAAUUCUUUGGCUAAGCGGUUAUCAAGUGCCACUAGGUGUCAUUGUUCAUGUGCAUGCAUUUAGAACCUAGUGAGCUAACUUAACUCCUUCGAAGAAAAUGAUUGUGAAAAUGCUAACACACGUGCACAUGUUGGUUCACACGUUGUGAUGUCGGUGCCUUUCGAGAAAAUGAAGUGCAUAUUUUCUAUUGCGCCGGUGGGAUUUUUGGAGAAGUCGCGAGAGUGUUUCUCGCUGAGAAAACACUCACCGGACGCUGGCUUCUGGAGCACCGGACGCUGAGUCUGAGCGUCCGGUGCACACACUGCCUGGCCCAGCUAGGGUAAGGCACCGGACGAUAGGCACCGGACGCUGGCCUGUGCGUCCGGUGGUCCGUGUCCGGUGUGAGGUCUGUUUUGCAGACCUCUCUGGGUGUGAGUCCGGUGAGCACCGGACGCUCAGGGUGUGUCCGGUGGCUUGCGUCCGGUGACCCUGCGAGUUUGCGGAGCUCUCUGCGCAUGAGUCCGGUGUGCACCGGACGCGUCCGGUGCCAACCUGCUCAGCGUCCGGUGCUCUGCAGGUUACCGUUAGACUCUGACACGCGGCUGACGUUGGAGCACCGGACGCUGGUGUUGAGCGUCUGAUGCCCCUUUAAGAGCGUCCAGUGAUCCCGUAUUUCGCCUAGUGAAAGAGCCAACGGCUCUAUUUGUUUGAGGGGCUAUAAAUACAUGUUUGGCCAACUUGGGGCUCACUCUCUUGGUAUUCUAACAUACUUGACAUCCUUGUGAGCCUAAGCAAACACCUCCCACUCAUCUCCUUCAUAGAUUAUACAUCUUUGUGAGAUUGGGAGUGAUUCCAAGUGCAUUUGCUUGAGUGAUUGCAUCUAGUGGCACUUGGGGAUCGUUCUAGCUGCGGUUUUCUUGUUACUCUUGGUGGUUGCCGCCACCUAGACGGCUUGGAGCAGCGGAGGAGGAUUGGCACGAGUUGGUGAUUGUUCGUGGCCAUCUCCCGGUGAUUGUGAGAGGUUUGUGCCUACCUCGGCGGAGAGCCAAAGGCAACAUUAGUAGAUUGCUCGUGUCAUUGAGCUACCUCACUUGUGGGUAGGUUCUUGUGGUGUCCUAGUGAGGACGAGGUUCGUGCUACACCUCUUAGCCACCGAACCACCAAGUGUUGGUCGACACAACGGGGACGUAGCGUGUCGGCAAGCACGUGAACCUCGGGAGAAAAAUUGGUGUCUCAAUUGUGUUUGAUUGGCAUUCUCUCGGUGCUUGAUUGUUUAUAUUGGUGAUUGGUUCAUCCCCUACACGGCGGUAUAAAUAUCUCAUCCUAUCUUUACUUACCGCAAACUAGAGUAAUUAGUUUAGUUGCUUACUUUGCCUUGUGUAGCUUAGUUCUCUAGUGUAACUUGUAGACACUUAGUUCUUGUGUGCAUAGUGAUCAUAGCAACUAGAAUUGUUGGGUAGGUGGCUUGCAAACACCCCACUAGAGCUAGAGCAAAAAGCUUCGCUUUGUUAUUUACUAACCACUUGCUCUAGUGAGUUUUGUAGAAUUUUUAAAUAGGCUAUUCACCCCCCCUCUAGCCAUAUUAGGACCUUUCAAGUGGUAUCAGAGCCGUGGUCACCGUUUGUGAAGGCUUAACAACCUCGGUGCUCAAAUUAUGGCUCAAAUAGUGUUCAACCAUGUUGGGGGCAAACCACCGUUCUUUGAUGGCACAAGCUCUUUUGACUAUUGGAAGAGAAAAAUGAAGAUGUACCUUGGAUCAAUCAAUGAUAGAGUGUGGGAAGUCACCGAAAAUGACUUUGUGAUUCUUGAUCCGGCUAACCCCACCGACAAUGAGAGAGCAAACAAGCAAUGCAAUACUAUGGCUCUCAACACAAUUUACAAUGGCAUUGAUUCAAAAGUGUUUGAACAAGUCAAAGAUCUUGAGAAGGCAAGUGAAGUAUGGACAAGACUAGAAGAAACAUAUGAAGGCACUACAACGGUAAAAAGUGCCAAGUUGUAUAUGCUCAAGGACAAGCUUUCAAACUUCAAGAUGAAGGAUGAUGAGUCCAUACCGGAGAUGUUCUAUAGGCUCCAAGUCAUCAUAAAUGAUCUCAAGGGCCUUGGUGAGAAAGUGAAGGAUGAGGACUUCAUUCACAGGUUCUUGAUGUGCUUGCCCAAGAGGUUCAAGACAUUGAGAACAAUCAUCUUUAGAGGUGGAUUGACCGGUGUAUCUCCCAAUGAGGUACUUGGAGAUGUCAUGACCGAAGAUCAAUACAAUGACAAUGAUGAUGAUGAGGUCAUGAAGAAGGAUGAUGAUGACAAGAAGGAAAAGAGUGUAGCAUUCAAAGCUAGCUCUUCAUCCAAGAGCAAGAACAAGGGCAAGGCCAAGAAGGAAGAAUCAAGUGAUGAGGAGUGCUCUAAUGAUGAUAGGGAUGAUGAAGCACUAGCACUCUUUGUCCGCAAAUUUGGCAAGAUGAUGAAGAAGAAGGGCUAUCACACAAGAAAGAGAAGAGAUCACUUCAAGAACAAGGAGCAUGUGAGGCUAUGCUACAAGUGUAAAAGCCCCGAUCAUAUUGUGGCGGAUUGUCCUUACAAUAGUGACAAUGAUGAGCAUGACAAGAAGAACAAGAAGGAGAAGAAAGAAAAAAAAAGAGAAGAAGAUGGUCUUCAAGAAGAAGAAGAAGGGUGGAUCCUAUGUUGUGACAUGGGAUAGUGAUGCUUCUUCGGAUGAUGAUUCUAGUGAUGAUGACAAAGCAUCCAAGAAGAAGGCACUUGCUAGCAUUGCUAUCAACAACAAGCCAUCACUCUUCGACACUCCUUCAUGCUUCAUGGCCAAGGGCCACAAGGUACAAUAUGAUGAGAGUGAAAGUGAAAGUGAACAUGAACAUGAUAGUGAUAGUGAUGAUGAAAAUGAAUUCACUAAUGAACAACUCAUGGACAUGUUAGAACAAGCUGAUUCUCUCAUUCAAUCUAAAAACAAGAAGUGCAAAGAAUUGGCCAAGAAGUUAAAAGCUCUUGAGCAAUCCUUUGAUGAGCUCAAUGCUAAUCAUGAGAGGCUAGUGGAAGCCCAUGAGAAGCUUGGCAAGGCUCACACCAAGCUUGAGAAAGCUCACUCCUUGUUGUUAGAAGAGAACAAGGAAAAGGUUGUUGUAUCAUGUGAUGUGGGCACAACAUGUGACUUAAUUAAAGAAUCACCCAACCCACCUAUUGUUGUUGCCACUAACUCUUCUUGUAGGUCUUCAUCCACCACCACCAACUCUACCUCCACUUCUAGUGUUAGUGUCACUUGUGAUGCUUCACUAAAGGUUGAGAAUGAGACUCUCAAGAGAGAGUUGGAUGAGCUCACUCACGCCCUAGGCAAGGCCUAUGGUGGUGAGGCCCGCUUGCUAAAGUGCUUGGGUAGCCAAAGGUUUUCUCUCAACAAAGAGGGAUUAGGCUAUACCCCCAAGAAAGGCAAGGCGGCCUUUGCAACUCACAAGCCUGGCUUUGUGAAGAGCAAUGGUCGGUUUUGCAACAAAUGCAAGCAAGUUGGGCACCUAGAGCUUAAUUGCAACAAAAUUAACAAGAAUAAGAAAAAUGCUAAUGUGUCUUACAUUCCUUUUGAUUCUUGUUAUGUGCUUACCAAGGGUGAGAAGGGUGUGCAUGCUAAGUUUGUUGGUACACCAAUUGUGGGUCCAAAGAAGAAGGCCAUUUGGGUACCAAAAAGCUUAGUCACUAACCUCCAAGGACCCAAACAAGUAUGGGUACCUAAGAAACAUUGAUUUGUUUUGUAGGUAAACUAUAAAGCCGGAGGAAGGCAUUGGGUGCUUGAUAGUGGGUGCACACAACACAUGACCGGUGAUUCAAGAAUGUUCAAUUCAAUCAAUUCAAAUGAUGACAAUGGUGUUGAUAGUAUCACAUUUGGUGACAAUGGCAAAGGCAAGGUCAAAGGGCUCGGUAAAAUUGCUAUAUCCAAUGACUUGAGCAUUUCCAAUGUGCUACUAGUAGAGAGCUUGAACUUCAACUUACUAUCCAUGGCUCAACUUUGUGAUCUUGGUUUCAAAUGCAUAUUUGGAGUUGAUGAUGUAGAGAUCAUAAGUGUAGAUGGCUCAAACUUGAUAUUCAAAGGCUUUAGAUAUGAGAAUCUAUACUUGGUUGAUUUCAAUGCUAGAGAAGCUCAAUUGUCAACAUGCUUGCUCACUAAAUCUAGCAUGGGUUGGUUAUGGCAUAGAAGACUUGGUCAUAUUGGAAUGAAACAAUUAAACAAGUUAGUCAAGCAUGAUCUUGUUAGAGGCUUGAAAGAUGUCACUUUUGAGAAAGAUAAGCUUUGUAGUGCAUGUCAAGCCGGAAAACAAGUUGGCAACACUCAUCCAAAGAAGAGCAUCAUGAGUACAUGCAAGGCAUUUGAGUUGUUGCACAAGGACUUAUUUGGACCAACCACAUACACAAGCAUUGGUGGAAAUAAAUAUGGAUUUGUGAUAGUGGAUGAUUUCACAAGAUACACAUGGGUAUUCUUUCUUAGUGACAAGAGUGAUGCUUUUGCAACUUUCAAAUCAUUUGUCAAGAGAAUCAACAAUGAGUUUGAAACAACCAUCAAGAAAGUGAGAAGUGACAAUGGAAGUGAAUUCAAGAAUACAAGAGUUGAUGAACUUUGUGAUGAAUUUGGCAUUAGGCAUCAAUUCUCGGCCAAGUAUACUCCACAAUCAAAUGGUCUUGUUGAGAGGAAGAAUAGAACCUUGAUUGACAUGGCAAGAUCAAUGUUGAGUGAGUACAAUGUGAGUCAUUCUUUUUGGGCUGAAGCAAUCAAUAUGGCUUGCUACUAUAGAAACCGACUCUAUUGUCACCCAAUGAUGGAGAAGACACCAUAUGAGCUCUUGAAUGGACGAAAGCCCAACAUUGCAUACUUUCGGGUUUUUGGUUGCAAAUGCUACAUAUUGAAGAAAGGCACUAGAUUGAGUAAAUUUGAAAAGAAAUGUGAUGAAGGUUUCUUGCUUGGUUACUCUACUACUAGCAAAGCUUAUAGAGUUUGGAAUUUGGCUAGUGGUACUCUUGAGGAGGUGCAUGAUGUUGAGUUUGAUGAAACAAAUGGCUCUCAAGAGGAAGAUGAGAAUCUAGAUGAUGUGAGAGGCACUCAAUUGGCCGAUGCAAUGAAGAACAUGGAUAUUGGUGAUUUAAGGCCUAGAGAGGUGAUUGAUGUUGAAGAUGACAAAGAUCAAGUGCUUCCUACCUCCAAUGUGCAAGCUAGUGGUUCUCAUGAUCAAAAUCAAGCUAGUACAAGUGGUACUCAAGUACAAGAUCAACAAGCUAGUACAUCAUCUCAUGAUCAACCAAGUGCAAGCAAUCAAGUACAAAUACUCCAACCAACAAGUAUUGCAAGAGAUCAUCCAUUGGAUCAUAUCAUAGGUGACAUUCAAAGAGGAGUGCAAACUAGAUCAAGAUUAGCAUCAUUUUGUGAGCAUUUCUCCUUUGUGUCUCACAUUGAGCCAAAGAAGAUUGAUGAAGCAUUGAGAGAUGUUGAUUGGGGUAAUGCUAUGCAUGAAGAGCUUAACAACUUCAAGAGAAAUCAAGUAUGGGAAUUAGUUGAGAGGCCUAGUGAUCAUAAUGUCAUUGGUACUAGAUGGGUCUUUCGCAACAAGCAAGAUCAAGAUGGGAUAGUUGUAAGGAACAAAGCAAGAUUGGUAGCGCAAGGCUAUACUCAAGUUGAAGGUCUUGACUUUGGUGAAACAUAUGCUCCGGUUGCAAGAUUGGAAGCAAUUAGGAUCUUGUUAGCCUAUGCUUGUGCUCAUAACAUCAAGCUAUACCAAAUGGAUGUGAAAAGUGCAUUUCUCAAUGGCUAUAUCAAUGAAGAAGUAUAUGUUGAGCAACCUCCCGGUUUUGAAGAUGACAAGAAACCCAACCAUGUUUACAAGCUAAGAAAGGCAUUGUAUGGUUUGAAGCAAGCACCAAGAGCAUGGUAUGAGAGAUUGAGAGAUUUCUUACUCUCUAAAGGUUUUAAGAUGGGCAAGGUUGACACCACUCUCUUUACCAAGAAGAUUGGCAAGGACUUGUUUGUGUUGCAAAUCUAUGUUGAUGAUAUCAUAUUUGGAUCAACCAACCAAGAAUUUUGUGAAGAGUUUGGCAACAUGAUGGCUAAUGAGUUUGAGAUGUCAAUGAUUGGAGAGCUUAGUUAUUUCCUUGGUCUUCAAAUCAAGCAAUUAAAGAAUGGUACAUUUGUGAGUCAAGGCAAGUACAUAAAAGACAUGCUCAAGAAGUUUGGUAUGGAUGAUGCAAAAUCAAUUAGCACUCCAAUGGGAACAAAUGGAAGCCUAGAUAGUGAUACAAGUGGAAAUAUGGUGGAUCAAAAGUUGUAUCGGUCUAUGAUUGGAAGCCUACUCUAUGUGACCGCAUCAAGACCGGAUGUCAUGUUUAGUGUAUGCAUGUGUGCAAGAUUCCAAGCCUCACCAAGAGAAAGUCAUUUGAAAGCAACAAAGAGAAUAUUGAGGUACUUGAAGCAUACACAAAAUGUUGGUUUGUGGUAUCCCAAAGGUGCAAAGUUUGAGCUUAUUGGAUAUUCCGAUUCGGACUAUGCGGGAUGCAAAGUUGAGAGAAGAAGCACAUCGGGCACAUGUCAACUAUUGGGUAGAUCACUUGUCUCAUGGUCAUCCAAGAAACAAAAUAGUGUUGCACUAUCAACCGCCGAAGCGGAGUACAUUGAGGCUGGUAGUUGUUGUGCACAAAUCCUAUGGAUGAAGGCAACAUUAAAGGACUUUGGAAUCAAUUUCAAAGAAGUGCCAUUGCUAUGUGACAAUGAAAGUGCCGUGAAGCUCACCAACAAUCCGGUUCAACACUCAAGAACAAAGCAUAUAGAUGUCCGCCAUCAUUUCAUAAGAGAUCACCAACAAAAAGGGGACAUUUGCAUUGAGAGUAUAGGCACCGAUGAUCAACUUGCCGAUAUAUUCACCAAGCCACUUGAUGAGAAGAGGUUUUGCAAGCUAAGGAAUGAAUUGAACAUACUUGACUUCUCAAAUAUGUGUUGAUGCACCCCAUUAUAUGACAUGCCUCUCCUUCGAGCAAAGCAAGGUAAAAUUGAUUGACAUAUCAUCCAUCCUAUGCUAAGGACUUGUGUAGUGCAUCUAGUCAUUCCUUACAUGUCUUAGGAUCAUUCAUGAAAAUCAAAUGAAUUUGAUGCUUGUAUGGUACCACUAUUGCUUUUAUGCUUGACUUGAUCUAGUGGUAGCAUAUGACAUGUUUGUGGGCUUGCAAUCCUAGUGUUUGAUCUAGAAUAUGAGCUAUAAGUGUUUAACUCAACAUGGUACAAGAUAACCCUUAUUUGGAGGUGUGAAGAAGCUUGUCCUUGGAUCAAACCGAGUUAAAUAUCUUAGGCAAGUAAUCUAGAUUGGACCAAUUUGGUAAAAUGAUCUCACUUCACAUGGUUUCACACUAACCUAUCUAAAAUUUGAGCUCACCUUUUGUGGUCUUUGAUGACAAAGGGGGAGAGAAUUUCCCAAAGAUUUAAGAUAGGGGAGUAACAUGAUAAAAGAAGGGGAUCAAUUAAAAUUUUGAAGCACACAAGUAGGGGGAGCAAGCUCAUAAAACUUGUUUGUUGCAUAUUGAAUGUGCAUCACAUAUGUUUGCUUGCAUUUGCAUUAGUUUUAGAAGUUUUCUCUCCAAUGCCUUGCUUGUGUGGUGUAUGCUAGUUGUAGGCUUGAUUGAUGAAGUGAAGAACUAGCAUGCAUAGAUAGUGUAACUAGACUUUUAGUUAUUUCACAAGUGGUACUAGAACCUUGUUUAUAAUGUUGAUCUCACGGGGUGUUCUAGUUUUUGUGAAUGUCUAGUUACUAAUGGUGCUAAGGAUGGUAUACAUUGGCAACUCCGAUUGGUAUCACGCCUCAAAGGUCCAUUCUUUACACCUUAGCAUCAUUUGGUAGAAAUUGACUCCUAUAUUUCCUAUUCAAGCAUAUGUGCAAGCUUUCAAAUCCAAACUCUUAGCACAUAUGUAGGCGGAGCAAUUGCUACCAUUUUGGGUUUAUGAAACUUGUCCAUAACCUUUGCACAUGGUAAAAUGCUUGGACAAGCAACAUGAAUCCAAGAAAAUUUUAUUGAAAAUCUUUGUAAAAAGGGUUGUCAUCAAUUACCAAAAAGGGGGAGAUUGAAAGCCCUAGUUUGGUUUUGGAUAAUUGAUGAAACCCUAGUACUAACCUCUAUGCUAAGUGUGUGUAGACUUAAUGAGGUUGGUACAUGCCAAGUGAAGGAGCAAGUGGUGAUGAUGGUGAUGAUGGUGAUGACCACAAGGUGAUCAAGUGCUCAACUUGGAAAAGAAGAAAGAGAAAAACAAAACCCUAUGGAGAUCAAGGCAAAGGUAUUGCUUAGGGUUUUGGUUUUGGUGAUCAAGACACCAUAGAGGGUGUGAUCACAUUUAGGAUAGAUAGUCGUACUAUAAAGAGGGGAAUUCUUUGGCUAAGCGGUUAUCAAGUGCCACUAGGUGUCAUUGUUCAUGUGCAUGCAUUUAGAACCUAGUGAGCUAACUUAACUCCUUCGAAGAAAAUGAUUGUGAAAAUGCUAACACACGUGCACAUGUUGGUUCACACGUUGUGAUGUCGGCGCUUUUCGAGAAAAUGAAGUGCAUAUUUUCUAUUGCGCCGGUGGGAUUUUUGGAGAAGUCGCGAGAGUGUUUCUCGUAGAGAAAACACUCACCGGACGCUGGCUUCUGGAGCACCGGACGCUGAGUCUGAGCGUCCGGUGCACACACUGCCUGGCCCAGCUAGGGUAAGGCACCGGACGAUAGGCACCGGACGCUGGCCUGUGCGUCCGGUGGUCCGUGUCCGGUGUGAGGUCUGUUUUGCAGACCUCUCUGGGUGUGAGUCCGGUGGGCACCGGACGCUCAGGGUGCGUCCGGUGGCUUGCGUCCGGUGACCCUGCGAGUUUGCGGAGCUCUCUGCGCAUGAGUCCGGUGUGCACCAGACGCGUCCGGUGCCAACCUGCUCAGCGUCCGGUGCUCUGCAGGUUACCGUUAGACUCUGACACGCGGCUGACGUUGGAGCACCGGACGCUGGUGUUGAGCGUCUGAUGCCCCUUUAAGAGCGUCCGGUGACCCCGUAUUUCGCCCAGUGAAAGAGCCAACGACUCUAUUUGUUUGAGGGGCUAUAAAUACGUGUUUGGCCAGCUUGGGGCUCACUCUCUUGGUAUUCUAACAUACUUGACAUCCUUGUGAGCCUAAGCAAACACCUCCCACUCAUCUCCUUCAUAGAUUAUACAUCUUUGUGAGAUUGGGAGUGAUUCCAAGUGCAUUUGCUUGAGUGAUUGCAUCUAGUGGCACUUGGGGAUCGUUCUAGCUGCGGUUUUCUUGUUACUCUUGGUGGUUGCCGCCACCUAGACGGCUUGGAGCAGCGGAGGAGGAUUGGCACGAGUUGGUGAUUGUUCGUGGCCAUCUCCCGGUGAUUGUGAGAGGUUUGUGCCUACCUCGGCAGAGAGCCAAAGGCAACAUUAGUAGAUUGCUCGUGUCAUUGAGCUACCUCACUUGUGGGUAGGUUCUUGUGGUGUCCUAGUGAGGACGAGGUUCGUGCUACACCUCUUAGCCACCGAACCACCAAGUGUUGGUCGACACAACGGGGACGUAGCGUGCCGGCAAGCACAUGAACCUCGGGAGAAAAAUUGGUGUCUCAAUUGUGUUUGAUUGGCAUUCUCCCGGUGCUUGAUUGUUUAUAUUGGUGAUUGGUUCAUCCCCUACCCGGCGGUAUAAAUAUCUCAUCCUAUCUUUACUUACCGCAAACUAGAGUAAUUAGUUUAGUUGCUUACUUUGCCUUGUGUAGCUUAGUUCUCUAGUGUAACUUGUAGAGACUUAGUUCUUGUGUGCAUAGUGAUCAUAGCAACUAGAAUUGUUGGGUAGGUGGCUUGCAAACACCCCACUAGAGCUAGAGCAAAAAGCUUCGCUUUGUUAUUUACUAACCACUUGCUCUAGUGAGUUUUGUAGAAUUUUUAAAUAGGCUAUUCACCCCCCCCUCUAGCCAUAUUAGGACCUUUCAAGUUGGCCUCUUUGCUCUGGAUUAUUUUGCCUAAGGGGAAAGACGAGACCACCGUGAUGGGGUGGCCAAGAAAGUAGUGUUGCAGCUUUCGGCGGGCAAGGAUUACGGCAUAGAUCAGCUUCUGGAUUUGGGGAUAACGUGCCUUAGUCUCCGAAAGCACCUCGCUGACGAAAUAGACUGGCCUCUGGACUGGUAGCGCAUGUCCCUCCUCCUGCCUUUCGACCACACCGCUGCGUUGACGACCUGGGUCGUCGACGCAACGUAGAGGAGCAGCGGCUCUGCAGGUUGAGGUGGGACCAUGACUGGUGCUGAGGUCAGCGUCUUCUUCAGCUUUUCGAGCGCUUCCUCGGCCUCGGGGGUCCAAGAAAAAUGCUCGACCUUCUUCAGAAGUCGAUACAAUGGUAACGCCUUUUCUCCUAGUCUCGAGAUGAAACGGCUUAGAGCCGCCAGGCAUCCCGUGACUCUCUGCACACCCUUGAUGUCCCGGAUCGGCCCCAUUCUCGUGAUGGCCGAGACUUUCUCGGGGUUGGCCUCGAUGCCGCGCUGCGAAACAAUGUAGCCCAAGAGCAUGCCUCGAGGCACGCCGAAAACGCACUUCUCGGGAUUGAGCUUGAUCUGGUUGGCGCGUAAACAGCUAAAAGCGAUCUCGAGGUCCUGGAUCAGGUUCCCUCGCCGCUUUGACUUGACGACAAUGUCGUCGACAUAGGCCUCGACUGUCGACCCUAUGUGUUCACCAAAAACGUGGAGCAUGCAACGUUGGUAUGUAGCUCCCGCGUUUCGAAGCCCAAACGGCAUGGUCACAUAGCAAUACAUCCCAAAAGGCGUGAUGAAAGAGGUCGCGAGCUGGUCGGACUCCUUCAUUUUUAUUUGGUGGUAACCAGAAUAUGCAUCAAGGAAAGAAAGGGUUUCACAUCCCGCGGUAGAAUCGACAAUCUGAUCAAUACGUGGCAAUGGAAAAGGAACUUUUGGACAUGCUUUAUUUAGACUAGUAUAAUCGACACACAUCCUCAUUUUCCCAUUCUUUUUCUUAACUAAUACAGGGUUUGCUAACCAGUCAGGAUGAUGAACCUCCUUGAUGAAUCCAGCCGUCAAAAGCUUGUGGACUUCCUCGCCAAUGAUCUUGCGCUUCUCCUCGUCGAAUCGGCGCAACCGCUGCUUCACUGGCUUGGAACCGGCUCAAAUCUCCAAGGAGUGCUCGGCGACUUCCCUCGGUAUGCCUGGCAUGUCCGAGGGACUCCAUGCAAACAUGUCGGUGUUUGCACGGAGAAAAUCGACGAGCACAGCUUCCUAUUUGGGGUCGAGAUCGGCGUUGAUCGUCAGCACCUUGCCGUCGGAGUUGUUGGGGUCGAGUGGGAUCUUCUUGGUUCCUUCUGCCGCCUCGAAGCUGCCCGCGUGGCGCUUGGGCUCUGGAGCCUCAGCGGCCAAGGCCUCGAGCUUCGCGACAAGCUCGGUGGAGUUUUCGACCGCCUCCCCAUACUCGACGCACUCGACGUCGCACUCGUACGCGUGCUCGAAGGAGGAGCUGAUGGUGAUGACGCCUUUGGGACCGGGCAUCUUCAGCUUCAAGUAGGUGUAGUUGGGUAUAGCCAUGAACUUGGCGUAGCCCGGGCGUCCGAUGAUGGCGUGGUACGUGCCUCGGAAUCCAACCACUUCAAAGGUGAGGGUCUCCUUCCUGAAGUUGGCCGCUGUGCCAAAGCAGACCGGUAAGUCGAUUCAACCUACUCGCAGCGCCUUUUUCCCUGGCACGACGCCAUGAAAACCGCUGGCGCUUGGUUGGAGCUUCCCUCUAUCUAUGCCGAGGAGGUCGAGGGUCUCGAGGUAGAUGAUGUUGAGGCUGCUACCACCAUCCAUCAGCACUUUUGAGAGCCGUGUGUUGACGAUGAUCGGGUCGACGACGAGCGGGUAGACACCUGGGGCGACUACCUUGUCGGGGUGGUCCUCUUGAUCGAAAGUGAUGGGAGUGCUUGACCAGCUGAGGUACUGGGGUAUCGCCAUUCUUGCCGCGAAGACCUCGCGACGCUCCCUUUUGCGCUGCCUCGUGGUUAACUGAGUCGAGGGCCCGUCGUAGAUCAUGUAGCAGUCGUGGACGGCGGGGAAGCCGUCGUCAUCUUUGUUGUCCUCCUUGUUGCCGCCCUUCUCUUUCUUGGAGUCGUCACGCGCAUCUUUCUUGAACCCUAGACCGUCGAAAUGCUUUUUCAGCAUACGACAGUCCUUGAGCUUGUGGUUGGCGCCUCCCUUAUGGUAAGGGCAUGGCUCUUCUAGCAUCUUGUCGAAGACGCCUCCCUCCGGAGGGCCUCGAGGCUUCUUUCGUUCCAUGGCGGCGACAAGGUUGUCGUCGGAAUCCUCCCGCUGGAACUGCCGUGCUUUCUGCUUCUUUUUAUUCUUCUUGAGGCCCCGACUCGGGGUUCCAUCUUCAUCGGCAGGCCGCUUGCCUUUCCCCCCUUCACAGCUGAAGAAAGCGCCAACUGCCUCCUCCCCUGCCGCGUAGUUUGCCACUACGUCCAUCAGCUCAUCGACGGUCUGAGGGCAAUUUCGGCCCAGUUCCCGCACUAAGUCUCGACUGGUGGUACCAGAGACGAAAGCCAGGAUGACGUCAUGAUCGGGGAUGUGCGGCAGCUCAGUGCGCUACUUUGAGAAGCGUCGAGCAUACUCUCGAAGAGUUUCUCCUGACUUCUGUUUGCACUUGCUGAGGUCCCACGAGUUCCCGGGCCGUAUGUAGGUCCCUUUGAAAUUACCCUCGAAAACCCUGACCAGAUCAACCCAGUUGUGGAUCUGAUCAGCGGGAAGUUCCUCGAGCCAUCGACGGGCGGUGUCGGAGAGGAAGAGCGGUAGCUGCCUGAUGAUGGCUCGAUCGUCCCCUCGAGCUCCCCCCAACUGAUAGGCCAACCUAAAAUCAGCUAACCACAAUUCUGGUUUGGUUUCGCCGUUGUAUUUCGCGAUGCUGGUCGGGGGUCGGAACGGACAGGGCAGGGGCGUGCUGCGGAUCGCCCUACUGAAUACUCGUGGGCCCGAUGGCUCGGGGGCCACCCGAUCUUCGUCGCUGUCGUACCUCCCACCGCGAUGUGCGCUGUAACCGCGUUAUUCCGCGUCUCCGUGCCGGCGGCGUCGAUUCUCUUCGAUGUCAUGCCGCGCGUCGUGUCGACGCUGAUUGUCGACGGGGAGAACGAGAGUGGUCUUUCUGCCUCGAGGUGGAGGCUGUUGAUGGACUGACACCUCCUUUUCAUUUUGAGGCUGCUCGUCGCGCUUUUCAGUGGCAGCUCCUCGUCGUCGAGAAGCUGAGCUUUCGGCUUGUUGAACUGCCGCCACCUGGAGCAGGGUCUGUACCUCGUCUCGAAUGCGUCGAGCCUGGGAGUUCGACGGCUCUGGCAUGUUGCGCAGCAGCAUUAUCGCCGCCACUACGUUUUGGCCUGCUCGAGGGAAGCGGCUGACGGGUUGCUCCGGUUCUGCGUCUCCGACGAUUUGUCGAUGGACCUCUCGAGCGCGUCUGCGGACACUUCCGCCCGGCGGAUAGGGCAGGUCUUGCUCGAGGAUUUGCUCGAGCAAAACGAGGCGCUCGCGGUCUUCGUCGAGCUUCAUCUUGAGCUCCCGCAGCUGCGCUAGCUGUGCAGCCUUGUCUUCUUGCGGAGGGGGGUCGACCUGUCCGUCGGUUCCAGGCGUCCUGGGGUCUUCUCGUGCCGCGGGGGCUCGACCGCCCGCAGCAGCAUCCCGUGUCUCGUCGGUAGUUUCUACCGCCCCGUCGAUGUGAUAGCAUUCCCUUGUAUGGUCGUAGCUAUCAGUCUCGGAGUCGGAGUCUGGUUCGGCGGCGUAGAAACACCCACGUCCCUCCUCCAGCAAUCGCUGCCUGAGGGAGGUGAUCGUGUAUCGUCCAGGGCCUAGACGACGGAGGCCUCGUACCCGGGAAAGAUCAGGCAGCUCGGACGCCGGCCGCUGCGCUUCAGUGUCAUGUGGGAGGACCAUUGGUCUUUCCACGUACGUCUGGGCGUUUGGGCAUAUCGCCCUGGCGAGCGACGCCGCGGCGUUGUCCAAUCCGAAUGGCAGUGCCCUUCUUGGAGUGAACAACCCGUGUGGAAGUAGCCUAGCAGCGGUGGGGGAGAGCGCGUGGGAUGCGUCCCCUCUCGUUGUUGUGCGGUGUUGAGCCGUCGCGCUCGUUGCUUCGACACAUGGUGCUGCCGACUUCUGGCCCACUUCCUGCUUCGCACGAGUUGUUGGUCGUGAUGAAGCAGAGGGGCCGCGGUGGUGCUGUCCGCGCCUCUUCUUAGGCGGGGAGGCGUGGUGGUGAGGGCGUCUCGGGGCCCUCAACCGUGCUGGCACAACGCGGGCUCCUCCUGGUCCUCUGACUGAGAGCAAGAUCAUGUCGUAGCCGGAGCCCGUAGACAUGAACUCGAGACUCCCAAACCAAAUCACCGUGGAGCGCGGAAUCGGCGAGGCGAGAGUAGCCAUCUGGAAAGGAGUGGGAAAUCGAUGAAAAACAUGCAGGACCCCUACCUGGCGCGCCAACUGUCGGUGUUUUCCCCACGAGGGGUCACACCAACGAGUAAAUUUGUAUGUGUGCUCCCUUUCCUAGAUGGUGAUGCAAGAAGACACAGAGAUUUAUCCUGGUUCGGGCAAGAGAAGGCCCUACGUCCAGCGGGGGGAGAGAGUUUGUAUUAUCUUGCACCUAAGUGCUUGUACAGGGAUGAAUACAAGCGUGGUAUGGAGUGUGGAGUUCUACUGCGUAUGAGCGUGGUGUUGUCUCUUGUGUUCUAUUCCUGAGUCCCUCCUUUUAUAGUUCCAAGGAGAGACCCAGGGUACAUGUAUAGGCGUCAGAAUAAGAGUCAAUAGCAGUAUGGAGUGCUGACCUACUCGAGGCUUCCGUACCGACAUGGCCUCGAGCCGUCCCGUCUUAAUAGCCUGGUGAUGAUUACACGUGCCCCUGCAUUCUGCUCUGCGCGCCGUCUUGUAUUGGUUCAACGGUCGCAUGCUCGUACGGUUUGGCGGCAAAUCCGGCGGAGUGGUUGUGGCGUGGCCAGUCGACGUCCGACCCGUCCCCAGGAAGGAACCAUGUUAAGUCGAGGGUCGGACGCCGUACGACGUCCUGAUGUCGGAGCGCUGACCUUGGCUACCUCGAGGGGGUCUUGAUUAGAUGUGCCAUCUCUGUUUCCCACGUCCUGACACGCCCUGGGCCGUUUGGUGGGGAAGGCUGCAAAAAGAUCGAUGGGACGGAUGCCUGUUCCCUAUCACGCCUCCCGUGACCCGUGUGUUAGGUGGGGAAGCAUCAGGCGCAUUUAAUGCCCCGGCUCGCGUGCGCGCGUCAGGCGGCGGGCGGCGUCCUUGCGCUCAACGCCUCCCGGUUCGCGUGAGCCUGUUCCGUAUUCGACGGUAACCAGAGCUCGAUGCCUGAUUGAUUCGCUCGACGCUAUUUCCGUCUUCGAGGCUGUGGCCGUCGAUGGCUGCGCAUACGUACGGAUGGAGCGUCGAAUCGAGGGCCUCGUCCUACGUACGGAUAACCUUGUUAUAUGCAUUGGUGAGGGUACCCCUUGUUGAUACCCUCGACAAGGGCUAUAUAAGCAAGGCCCCUGGCCCCUGGAGAAAGAGAAUCCCAUUAUUCAUUAGCAUAUUUUCCAGAGAGGAUUCAGAGAGAGAGGUUCCUUAGGGUUCCCACCUCAUAGGGCUUAGCAUCUAAUGUGAGAGUAGAACUAGUUCUACUAGAUUGAGAGAGAUAGAGUGGAGGUGUAGAUCAGAGGAAGCCCGGCCUGUCGGUGUCUACUCUGAGGUUGUACCUGCGGGAUCAAGUCUUCUAACCCGAGGCUUGCUCCUAGGAUUCUUCAGUAUUUCGACUUCUAAAUUCUAGUAAGUUCUUUGUUUUAUUGUUCUUUGGUUUAUGAGUUUACUUUGAUCUCUUUGCGUAGAGUUUAGAGUAAUCAUCUCUAGCGUAAAUGUGGUGUUUGGGCUAGGAUACUCAUAGAUAUCCCCUAUCUAGCUGGACCGUGGUAGUAGCGAGGAACGUGACAUUUCCGAGUUACCUUUGUAGCCCAUAUCCCGUUAGUAGGAUCGAUAGGGUUUAUAGGUGCGGGUUGAACAUCCUCUGUGGUGUCUAGAUUCCGUGAGCCUCCCCAACAGAACAGUAGAUCAUCCUUACCAAGGUUAGAACAAGAGUGCGGUUGUAGUCUUCUCUAUACAUCACUCACAUCGAAUCACAUAGUUUGUAGCCUAAAGGUUAGUAGUAAUAGACCGGGUUAGUCACAUGCACGCUUUCUCCUAGUGGUAAAAAUAUAAAUAUGAUACUCUGGAUAACAUCCCGGGUGAAAGUGCUCACCGAUAUCCGUGCGCUUGUGGAUUAAUUCCUCAUUGCGUUACCAAAUAUCAACAAGCAUUUUUGGCACCGUUGCCGGAGAGAAAGAUAGCUUGUAUUCAUACUUUUAUCUUUUCUUAUCUUUUUAUAUUCUUUAUUUUCUUUACUCUUACCUUAUGGAAAACCAAGAUUCUAAAUCGAUCUAUCAAUUUGCAACACCUUCAGAAACUGACCUUUUAUCAUGGGAGUCAUCACAGCCUAUCCAAACAUCCCAGUAUAGGUUAAGUUCCAGGUUGAUUGCCAUGCUUCAAAACCAAUCCUUUUCAGGAAAGGAAGAAGAAAACCCUUACCUUCAUAUUAGAGAUUUUGAGCAAACAUGUGAUUGUCUUCGCAUUGAAGGCAUUUCUGAUAAAACUUUACGUUGGAAGCUUUUUCCUUUUUCUUUAAGGGGAGAAGCUAGACAAUGGUAUAGUCAGAAGGUAAGUCAACAAUGAGGUGAAUGGGGAGUCUUACGAGCCAACUUUUGUCUAGACUUUUAUUCCCUCGACCGUAUCGGCGACCUUAGACUCGAAGUCCUAUCUAUUAAACAAAAAGAUAAUGAAACUUUGGGAAAAUCUUGAAAACAUUUUUCUGAUCUUUUAGAAUCUGGUCCAAACCUUAAUCUUGAAGACCCUGUUCUUUUAUUUCACUUUUUUCGAGGUCUUCAGAAAGAUCAUAAUUAAAUGCUACAUACAAUGUCUAUAGGUUCUUUCUUUCGCAUCCCUACUGAUGACGCUAGAGCAAUCCUAGAAAGAAUCCUAGAAACUGAGAUGGAUAAUACCCUCCAUGAUGAAACCCACGAAGCCGAAGUAGACACUCUGCCAAAUUCUCCAUCUACUUUAGCUAUGCCAAGUUCUGAGCCACAAAAGGAAGAAAUUCCACCUCCCGAUUUCAUGCUGGAUAUAGAAUAUGAUCUUUUUGCCGAUUUUGGAAACAUUUCAAACUACCAUUCUAUUGACAGACCCCAAAAUGGCCAUUUUAGCAUUUGUUUGCCAAGUGAACAUCAAUUGAGAGAGCUCAUCUCAGUCAUGAGUAGCGAAUGGUUGGAGGAGUCAGAUCUUUCCUCUAAUGUGAUCCGUUUGGACACACCUCCUAUAACUAUACGCUUUGCUUAUGAUUCUGAUCAAUCUGAUGCUCUCUAUAAUCCUGUUGUGGGGAUCAACAUCAUGUCUGAAUCUUUUGCACUUAAAUUGUUUAAAAAUUUGGUCUUAACCCCCACAACAAAAGUCAUAAAGGAAUCUUCAAGGCGAUUAGUCCCCAGUCUUGGAAUUAUUAAUGUCCUACCCUUUAUGGUAGAAGGCUCCAUGGUUCAUUUGAACUUCUAUAUCUUUGAUACAUGGGACUUCGACCUGUUGAUAGGACAACCUUUUAUAAGACUCCUUUAUGAAGGUCAUACUGGAAAGCUACACAUUUCUUUCGGAAAAGAUUUUAAAUUUCCAAUAACGAUUUCUCACUCCUUAAAUAAUAAGACUGAGUCAUAUCUUUUGCUCGAUCCUAUGGAGGAGGUAAAGGCUGCAUCUCUAGAGCUUUUAGAUGAACCAGACUUAAAAGAAGAAGCUCCUUUCUUCAUAGAAGAAGAGGCCGAACCUUCUGAAUUUGAACCCUUAGACGAGUUUGCAGAAACACCUAGACCUCCCAUAGUGCUUAAAACUUUACCACCCGGUUUUAUCUAUGCUUUCCUAAACAAUAAUCCAGAGUUUCCUGUGAUCAUUAGUGAUAAACUCACUCAGGAGCAAACUCUGCGAUUGAUGACCAUUCUUGAGAAACAUCACUCAGUUUUUGGCUACUCACUCCAAGAUCUUAUAGGAAUCAGUCUUAUGAUUUGUACCCAUCGUAUUUUGACAUAUCCUUCUGUUUCAUCUUCUUGAGAGCCCCAACGUAGACUUAACAAUGCGAUGAGAGAGGUAGUUAAAAAGGAAGUUAUAAAGUUGCUGCAUGCAGGGAUUAUAUAUCCUGUGUCGCACAGUGAGUGGGUGAGCCCAGUUCAAGUUGUGCCUAAAAAGGGAGGCGUGACUGUUGUCACAAAUGAGAAGAACGAGCUAAUUCGGCAACGCACCAUCACAGGGUGGCGGAUGUGCAUAGACUAUAGAAAAAUGAACAAAGCCACGAAAAAGGAUCAUUUUCCUUUACCUUUCAUAGAUGAGAUGCUAGAGCGAUUAGCAAACCAUUCGUUCUUCUGUUUCUUAGAUGGAUAUUCAGGGUAUCACCAGAUCCCGAUCCAUCCCGAUGAUCAAAGCAAAACCACUUUUACAUGCCCAUACGGAACUUAUGCAUACCGUAGAAUGUCUUUUGGGUUAUGUAAUGCACCAGCUUCUUUUCAAAGAUGCAUGAUGUCUAUAUUUUCUGAUAUGAUUGAAGAGAUUAUGGAAGUCUUCAUGGAUGAUUUCUCUGUAUAUGGAAAAACUUUCGAUAGUUGUCUUGAAAACUUAGACAAGGUUUUGCAAAGAUGUGAAGAAAAGCACUUAGUCCUUAAUUGGGAAAAAUGUCAUUUUAUGGUUAGGGAAGGAAUAGUGCUGGGACACCUAGUGUCUGAAAGAGGUAUUGAGGUAGACAAAGCUAAAAUUGAAGUAAUUGAACAACUACCUCUACCUGUGAAUAUAAAAGGAAUUCGAAGCUUUCUUGGCCAUGCUGGUUUUUAUCGCAGAUUCAUAAAAGAUUUUUCAUUAAUUGCUAGACCACUUACUCUUUUGCUAGCCAAGGAUGCUCCUUUUGAAUUUGAUGAUGCAUGCCUAACAUCUUUCAAUUUAUUAAAGAAUGCACUCAUCUCUGCACCAAUCAUUCAACCCCCUGAUUGGUCGUUGCCUUUUGAAAUUAUGUGUGAUGCUAGUGAUUAUGCUGUGGGGGCAGUUUUAGGACAAACUAAAAAUAAGAAGCAUCAUGCAAUUGCUUAUGCCAGUAAAACUUUGACAGGAGCUCAACUUAAUUAUGCAACCACUAAAAAAGAGCUUCUGGCCGUUGUCUUUGUCAUUGAUAAAUUUAGAUCUUAUUUAGUUGGAGCUAAAAUAAUUGUUUACACUGAUCAUGCUGCACUAAAAUAUCUACUCACUAAAAAAGAUGCUAAACCACGCCUGAUUAGAUGGAUCUUAUUACUUCAAGAAUUUGACUUGGAAAUAAAAGAUAAAAAGGGAGUAGAAAAUUCUGUUGCUGAUCACUUGUCUAGAAUGUAUUUUAAGAAUCCACAGGAAACCCCUAUCAAUGAUUCACUCCGGGACGACAUGCUCUAUGGGAUUAACAGGUCUGACCCCCUGGUAUGCAGAUAUUGUUAAUUUUAUGGUUUCAGGGUAUGUACCACCAGGAGCGAACAAGAAGAAGCUUAUUCAAGAAAGUCGUUCACAUAUAUGGGAUGAACCAUACCUCUUCCGAGUAUGCUCUGAUGGCUUACUCAGGAGAUGUGUGACCACCGAGGAAGGAUGGAAGAUCAUUGAUAGAUGUCAUUCAUCACCAUAUGGAGGUCAUUAUGGAGCAUUCCGUACACAUUCAAAGAUUUGGCAGUGUGGAUUCUACUGGCCUACAAUGUAUGAAGACACAAAGCAAUAUAUCAGAAGAUGCGGGCCAUGUCAAAGGCACAGAAACAUAAACACAAGGGAUGCCAUGCCACUCACCAACAACCUUCAGAUUGAGCUCUUUGAUGUCUGGGGAAUAGAUUACAUGGGUCUAUUUCCCUCAUCAAAGAAGUGUGAUUUCAUCUUGGUGGCAGUUGACUAUGUCUCCAAGUGGGUAGAGGCACUACCUUGCAAACACGCCGACAAUAUCAGUUCAAAGAGGAUGUUUGAAGAAGUUAUAUUUCCAAGAUUUGGAGUCCCCAGAGUAGUGAUAAGUGAUGGAGGAGCAAACUUCAUCGACAAACGCUUCAAGCACUAUCUAUCGAAACAUGGAAUCCGUCACAACGUCACUACUCUCUACCAUCCUCAGACAAGUGACCAAGCAGAGACUUCCAUCAAGCAAAUCAAGAAUAUUCUUCAGAAAACAGUCAAUGAGAUGGGAACGGCAUGGAAGGACAAGUUACCUGAUGCACUCUGGGCAUACUAGACAGUAUACAAGACCCCAAUUGGAAUGUCCCCAUACCAAUUGGUGUACGGGAAGACUUGCCACCUACCUGUUGAAUUAGAGUUCAAAGCACACUGGGCCAUAAGGAGAUGGAAUAUGGACCUAGAUGUCGCUGGAGAUCACAGAAGAAUGCAACUAUCAGAAUUGGAAGAAUGGCGAGUGUUGGGUAUUUUAAACGCAAACAGAAAAAUCUGCAAGCGCACGGAUACCGAUGUAGCUUUCACUCGGGAGUAUUCCAGAGUAUCGAUUUUCCACAGGGAACGUGAGUGUACUAAUUAAGAAUCAAGAUCGCCCAAGGAUAACUAUAUAAUUAUUUUUGGUGGGAAGAGAGGAAGUUUCUUGAGAGUUCUCUAGUUGAUCUAAGAAUCAAGAAUUACUUCAAAGAUUAUUUAUAUCGGGACAUCAGAGCACUAACCACAGAAAGAGAUGAGAAGGGGGCUAGGAAGGUCUGACUACGGUCCUACAAACACCGAUCCGAACGAGGUGGAAUACGUCGACCGUUAAGGCUGUCACUACCCUAGGGCUACCACAACAAUCCAUAGGAUUGGGUGCAAUUCCAAGUAAUUGCAAGACUAAACACCAUGUCUAAUCUUUAAUUACUACUCUAAUGUUUCAAAUAUUAGAGCACUUGAUGCAAGCGGGAAUCCAAUAAAUAACUUGAAUGUAAAUAAAAGUAAUUAAAGAACUCAGAAUUAUGAAUUGAAGAACCUGGAGAACGAUGAAGAACGAACCAGUUGCUGCAAAAGUACAAUGUUGAGGAAGAUCCGACAGAUCCGGCUCCUCCUCCUCCUCCGCUCUCCUCUUCUCUCUCCCUAUUUUCUAGAUUACAACUAGAACUAACUAGAACUAGAACUAGAGGAACUAGAACUAGAACUAGAUGAACUAGAACUAGAUCUAGAUGAACUAGAGGUAGAACUAGAAGAACUAGAGGGAUCCUCUCUACUUGGAUGAAGAAUUGAAACCCUAACUUUGAUUCUGUAGAAGAGGUAUGAUCUCCAGGGGCCAGGGGGUCUGGUUUUAUAGUCCCUCUAAGUGAAUAUGGGUCGUUGGAUCAAACCGACAUUGAUUGAACGGUUAUCCUUGAUCCUUUAGGUCGGUGGAGCAAUAUCCCGAAAGAGAGUCCUGAUUGGACUCUAUGUGAGGGCGGGCGCCCAGGAGAGUAGGGCGGACGCCCUAUCCCUGAGUCCUCUUGGCUUCCCGUUCGUUCCCGUGGCUUUUGGAGUCUUCUAGAUGGUAGAAAAUUGCGCAGCACGUUAAUAUCUCUAUGUAAACCCGACGUGUGGGCCUUUCCUCCGUAUUUCCUGAUAACCCCCUGCAGAAAUAGACAAACACCAAAACUCGUGGAAUUCUGUCAGAUAAAAUCCUAAGUCUGGUGUUGGUUGCAUAUAGAUCCUUUUCCAUGAUUAGUUGACGGUUAAAUUUGAGCAUUAAGGACCGUCAACAAGCUCCCCCAAGCUUAACCUUUGCUCGUCCCUGAGCAAAGAUGAACUUAAGAGUUUCUGCAGUGGUUUCAUUCCUUAAAGGUACACAUGCGUUCAAGCAAGAUCUCAUCUCUGGGUUAGGGUAAACUAUUAAGAUUUAAACUUACUCAUUUUUCCUUCCACCAUGGGGCUUGCACCCGUCACUUGUGUCUUGAGCAGUUAAAAGAUAGAACGGUCUAGUCAAGCGUCAUGUCUCUUGUUCUUCGAUUAACUAUAGCUCUGAAGUUUUUGCAGAUUUUCAAAUAAAACUCAGAGAUUCCUUAUAUGACUCUCUCUAGUCUCUCUUUUGUGGUAUUUCUGGAUCCUUACCAAGGCAGUAAUAGUGUAUGCCUUCUCUCAAAGUAUGUGGUAUUUUUGGUAUGAGGCAUAGUGACAUUGCCUUCUCUCUCACCCUACUCUAAUAAGGUUUUGAUAUCUGGAGCUCAUAGGUGGGAGAUAGCUAAUACAUACUUACAAGACAUUUAUUGCAUAGUCAAACCAUGGAUCCAGAAGAACAAGUCAAUAAGUCAAAUCAAGAUGUGCAUGUGUGGCGAAUGAAUGGUGUAUGGUGAUGAUGGUGAUAACAAUGGUGAAAGUCCAAUUCUACUUAUGCUCUUUUGAGAGGAUACAUACCUUUCUUGCUCUUUUGAAACUUUUUGAGGAGAAUGAGAUGCUCUAUAUUUUCUUUUUCUUUUCUCUCAGGUGGGUAUCUUGUACCCCUAAUUCUACUAUCGGACACUUGUCCAUUUUUACCUCUCGUCUCACUUUUUCUUUUCCUUCGAGGUUCCGGGCACUUGCCCCUUUUUAUUUCCUCGUAUCUUUUUUUUCUCUCUCUCUUCUUUUUUUAGAGCACUCAUCACUUGAAAUAAUGUAACAAGUGGUAGUAACCAAGAUAACUUGAGCAUUUAUUUCACAGAGGAAAACAGAAAUGAUUUUGGCUAUUCUCUCCCGGAUUAGGAGUAGAAUAUUUUUGGGUGGUUUUGGAGAUGGAAAUGGGUUGAUAUAUGUGGAUGCGUACUUCCGGAGUAGAAGCAGCAUGUGUGAAUGAACGUGCAAGUGAAUCUUAAUUUAACCACAUGACAAGCUCCUAAGGGUCUACACAGCUUGACCACACUCAAUGCUCAUAAGCAGUAAAAAGUAAAUGUGUGGCUCAAAGUCUAGCAAGCAUGUAUAUAUGGCUGUGGUAGGAAUUUAAACUCUCAUCAUACAGGAACUCUUCAUGUGUUAUUUUAAAGAUUUUCAAAGAUAAACUUCUCCAGUUUUCUAGCAUCUCUAGGAACAGAUAAACAGCAGCUCAACCUUCCCAUGUCGUAUCCGUUAACGACUUAGACUUUAGAUCAAGUACUCUUCCCACAAGUUCAGGUUUAGAGCAAUGCUUAAUUAAUAACAAUCAUGCCUAAACUUGAGAGAGAUUUCAAUUUUGAGAAUUAGUCAUGGCAGAGCAACUAUUCAUCAUUUCCAUGUGAGAGCUAUCAUGAGGGUUCAUAGCAGACUUUAUUUAUUUAUUUAUUUAGCAAACUAAACAAAUAUACAUAUAAGCACAAAAUCUUUAUUUGGGUUUUUAUGAUUAUACAUCUUUUUAUUAUUUGAGUAAAGUAUAAACGUGAGUAGAACACUUAGCUGGAUAAAAGGGGGUGCUCUCCCCCAAGCUGGAUUUUGAUGUAAUUUCUUCUGACGUAGCUAGCAGGUGGUGGAGGUCUAUUUGAAUGUCGGUAGCACCCUGACAGCGAUUAGGAUGUCCUUCGUCUGCUAGUCUUCUUUGAUCCUUGAAUUCUGUGGAGCUCAAAUAGACAACAAAGCUUUGUGGAACUGGUUAAGUGUUAGCAUAAAAUCUCUUAGCCGUUAUCAUGUUGAACUUCCUCUAAUAAAUAUUACUCUCUUU